rnacentral:misc_RNA from 1 species
GUGAAUCAUCAAAUCUUUGAACGCAAAUUGCGCUUCCUGGCAUUCCGGGGAGUAUGCCUGUUUGAGGAUCAGUAUUAAUAAAAAAUCGGCUUAUUUACAAAUUGUGACGUUCCCGGAGUUUGGGCUAUCUGAAUAUUUUUGGUUAAGAGGCUUAAAAUAAACCUUUUUUUCGCCUUUUGAAACUUACAUAAAUUUUUUUUAUUCGUCUAUUCUGAAUGCCAAAAUCUUUUUAGUUUCGAUCACAUCGUGUGUCUUCGUG